UACGUAGGGGGCAAGCGUUGUCCGGAAUCAUUGGGCGUAAAGCGCGUGUAGGCGGUUCGAUAAGUCUGCUGUGAAAGUCCAGGGCUCAACCCUGGGAUGCCGGUGGAUACUGUCGGGCUAGAGUGCGGAAGAGGCGAGUGGAAUUCCUGGUGUAGCGGUGAAAUGCGCAGAUAUCAGGAGGAACACCAAUGGCGAAGGCAGCUCGCUGGAACGGAACUGACGCUGAGGCGCGAAAGCGUGGGGAGCGAACAGG
rnacentral:rRNA from 1 species